ACCCUUGUUUUGUCUUUCCUAUAACAUUUGUUGUCCCUAUCUCAAUGUCUUGUUUUUUUAAAACAUUUUUAUCGUCCCCCCCCCCCAUGUCUUAGUCCAAUUUUUUGACGUGACGUGUUGUCACUUUUUCGACAUUUAAGCCGGUUUUUCCAAAGUUUUUUGCUUGCUUCCAGUGUUUUUUUUCGUAGUUUUUGUCACUUUUUCCAAUAUUUUGUAUGCUUCCCCCCAAUGUUGUGUCGCCUUGUUCAACAUUUUCAACCUCCCAUAUUUCUGAUAUAAAAUAAACUUGGAAACGGGUCAAAUUUGACCCCAGGACAACCUGUGGGUUAUGCUGCUGCCACCGACGUCACUCACCACUAUUUCGGUGCGCAAACAAGAGUCGAGUUCAGGCGGAGCACUGAAUCCAGCUCCUUCCUUCAUCUGUUUCUCAAUCAACUUGCGGUAGGCCGUGGGGUCAUUUUGAGAAAGAUCGUCCAGGAUGGACCAAAACUGGUUGACUUGCUGUAAAACAUCCGCUUUACUGCCAGUGGAGGACAUAUUACGAUCCAUCCCAAGAAUUCAGCCACUUUGGUGUAAACUCCAGGAUGGUUGGGCUCAGCACAGCCUGUCCCCCAGCUGACGACCCCCACCAGCCUCCACACAUUUUCAUCCUGGCAAACCAAAGGACCCCCACUGUCCCCCUGAAAUAACCCACCUUCAGAAUCCUCUGCCAGCCACGCCGGCUUUGGACCCAGCACCCCUGCCAGCCCUGAAAGCUUCGAACCCAGCACCUCUGCCAGCCCAACCAGCUUCGGACCCAGCACCCCCCACUGCCGGCUCAUCCUCACUGUGUAGAUAAAUGAAAUAAGAUUUUUUUUUUCCCACCACUCAAGUCUGCGCCUAACUUCUGUCACCAAUCCUGACAAUGUCAAAAAAAUGUGAGAAAGAAGUCAUAGUAUAGCAUGUCCAAAAAGAUGAUGAAACAGACAGUAUAGCAUGUCAAAACAAAUAAUUAAAAAAAGACAUGGUGUGUUAUGUGGAUGAUAAAGGCAUGGUGCAGCAUGUGGAAAAAAAUAUUUUAAAAGUAAGUAUACUAUGUCCAAAUAAGUCGCAACAACAUCAUAGUAUAGCUUAUUAAUACGAGUAUAAAAUUAUUAGCAUGGCAUGUUGAAAAAAGUGAUUGAAGAGUCAUAGUGUGGUAUGUCAAAAAGGUCAUAGUAUAGUAUUUUGAAAAAAGUCAUAGUAAAGCAUGUUGAAAAAAAGAGAUAAAGUCAUUGCAUAGAAUGUCAAAAAAGAGAUAAAAAAAGAGUCAUAGUAUAGCAUGUUGAAAAAAGUUAUAAAAAUGUCAUAGUAUAUAGUAUGUUGCAAAGAGUCAUAGUAU